AUGGCGUUAGUGCGGGAGCCGAUGGUGAUGUGCGGCGGCGGCUUCGACGCCGAGGCCCCCGUGUUCGACGCGCUCGGCUACGGUGGCCACUACGCGCUGCUCGGAGGCCUGGACGCGGCGGCGCUCUUCGGGGGCUAUGCGUACGCCCAUGACGAGCCAGCCGGCGCCGCCAGCGCCUACGCGCCGGAGAGCGCGAGCUGGGCAGGCGCGGGGGCGUCCGUGCUCGCGUUCGACCGCGCCUCGCGGGGCCAGGCGGUCCAGGCUCUCGCGGAGGAGGAGGCGUGGAUGGACGCCAUGGACGAGGACCAGCACGCGGGCCCAGCGUCCACCAUAGGGUUCGACCCAGCCACAGGCUGCUUCAGCCUGACGCAGAGCUCCGGCGGCGCGCGGCGGCCGUUCGGGCUCCUGUUCCCGAGCACGUCCAACGGCUCGCCCGAUGCCGCAGAACCGGCGCGCGGUUCCUCGAAGCGAUCGUACGCGGACCAGGAGGCGGAGCCGCGGGCCAGCAAGAAGCCGUGCGGUGCGAGCAGGAAGACGAGCAAGGCGAAGCCGGCGGCGCCCACCACCACCUCGGCCAAGGGGGGCCCGCAAAGCCACACCGCAAAGAACCGGCGGGAGAAGAUCAGCGAACGGCUCCGGACACUGCAGGAGCUGGUGCCCAACGGCACCAAGGUCGACAUGGUCACCAUGCUCGAGAAGGCAUUCAGCUACGUCAAGUUCCUGCAGCUGCAAGUCAAGGUGCUGGCGACGGACGAGUUCUGGCCGGCGCAAGGGGGAACGGCGCCGGAGAUCUCCCAGGUGAAGGAGGCGCUGGACGCCAUCUUAUCGUCGCAGAGGGUGCAACUGAACUGA
rnacentral:rRNA from 1 species